CGAGUGGCGGACGGGUGAGUAAUGUCUGGGAAACUGCCCGAUGGAGGGGGAUAACUACUGGAAACGGUAGCUAAUACCGCAUAACGUCGCAAGACCAAAGAGGGGACCUUCGGGCCUCUUGCCAUCGGAUGUGCCCAGAUGGGAUUAGCUAGUAGGUGGGGUAACGGCUCACCUAGGCGACGAUCCCUAGCUGGUCUGAGAGGAUGACCAGCCACACUGGAACUGAGACACGGUCCAG
rnacentral:rRNA from 1 species